ensembl:lncRNA
AUGUGGACCUCCCUCUGCCUUCAGCUUCUCAUCUUCCUUCCUUUCAGCCUCUCCAGAUCCCUGCUCUCAGUGACCCCUGGAGACCAGGAGCAGGCCUGUUGUGAGUACUGGAGCACCAUCCCUGAAAUCUACUAUAAGCUGAACAUUACCUCUACAACUGAAGACUUCAAUCUGCGGCUAGAGCUGGAGAAAGAUACCCUUCUGAAGUCUAACCUGGCUGCCUUCCGGAACAUCUCAGAGAAGUUCUUCAGUGUCUCUAAUGCAUCUUUAUCCAUCAAUAAAAAUCUGGAGAAGCUGGAGGUGUGUGAGGUUGGGGAGGGUCUCUUUGGCACUGGGUCUCCAGGACCACAAAGGAGCCCACUCCAGAUCAGAGUGCAUGGCCUUAUCUUGCCCAUUUCCAAAAUAGCAGCAGCAUUUUCACCCUGA